AGGAUGCUUUUGGAGCUGGGAGGGCUUUCCUCCUGAGCCUCCUCCAACCCACAAAGGAGUCAUGGCCGGCUUCAACAUGGGGGGCGACCUCAGGGAGCCUGCCGCCAGCAUUCCCCUGGGCUCCCUGGCAGCUGUUGGCAUCUCGUGGUUUCUGUACAUCGUCUUCGUCUUCCUCCUGGGCGCCAUCUGCACUCGAGAGGCCCUUCGCUAUGACUUCCUCAUAGCGGAAAAGGUAUCCCUCGUGGGCUUCCUGUUCCUUUUGGGCUUAUACAUCUCGUCCCUGGCUUCCUGUAUGGGAGGACUUUAUGGAGCUCCCCGCAUCCUGCAGUGCAUUGCCCAGGAGAAAGUGAUCCCUGCACUUGCCUGUCUGGGACAAGGGAAGGGGCCAAACAAAACACCCGUGGCUGCCAUCUGCCUGACCAGCUUGGUGACCAUGGCCUUUGUUUUUGUGGGUCAAGUGAACGUUCUGGCCCCCAUCGUCACCAUCAACUUCAUGCUGACAUACAUCGCAGUGGACUACUCUUACUUCUCCCUGUCCAUGUGUUCCUGCAGCCUGACCCC
rnacentral:sRNA from 1 species